rnacentral:misc_RNA from 1 species
UUGAAAGAAAGGUGUAAACAAUCGAUUUUUUACCCUGCGAUCUGCUAAAUUUACUAGUAGAAACAUUCGAAAACUAUGCAGAAAUAUGAGAAACUUGAAAAAAUCGGUGAAGGAACAUAUGGGACAGUUUUUAAGGCUAAAAAUAAAGAGACCCAUGAAAUUGUAGCUCUCAAACGUGUAAGGUUAGAUGACGACGAUGAAGGCGUCCCAUCGUCUGCUUUACGCGAAAUUUGCUUACUGAAGGAGCUUAAGCAUAAAAACAUUGUAAGAUUAUACGAUGUCCUUCAUAGCGAAAAGAAGUUGACGCUUGUGUUUGAACACUGUGACCAAGAUUUAAAAAAGUACUUUGAUAGUCUUAAUGGAGAGAUAGACUUAGACGUUGUGAAGUCAUUUAUGUAUCAAUUACUUCGUGGACUUGCCUUUUGCCAUAGCCACAAUGUUCUACACCGAGAUUUAAAGCCCCAAAACUUGUUGAUAAAUAAAAACGGUGAAUUGAAGCUAGCAGAUUUUGGUUUAGCUAGAGCUUUUGGUAUUCCUGUGAAGUGUUAUUCAGCUGAGGUUGUCACCCUGUGGUAUCGGCCUCCAGACGUUCUUUUUGGGGCUAAAUUGUAUACAACUAGUAUUGAUAUGUGGUCAGCAGGUUGCAUUUUUGCUGAACUUGCAAACUCUGGACGUCCAUUAUUCCCAGGUUCUGAUGUUGAUGAUCAAUUGAAGAGGAUUUUUAAAUUACUAGGAACACCAAAUGAAGACACUUGGGCUGGAGUGACACAGUUGCCAGAUUAUAAGCCACUGCCAAUUUACCAACCCAGCCUAGGGCUCGCCCAAGUAGUCCCUCGUUUGCCAGCCAGAGGAAGAGACCUACUUGCACGGCUCCUCACUUGCAACCCAGCUUUAAGGAUGCCUGCUGACGAUGCUAUGGCACAUGCUUACUUCCAUGACCUGAAUCCAUCAGUCAAGAAUGACCGAUGUUAACAAUCAAUACAUCCAUACAAAUGCACCUCAGAACUGCUAGUUUGUGAUAAAAAUGAUGAUGAGGUGCAGGAGUGUUGUGAUGAAGAAACUUUUGCUUAAUGAUAAGGACAAUUUAGUGUUUUUAGGACAUGUCUUAAUCAGGCAACAUUCUGCUCAAUACAUGUAAUGUUUUUGAGUGUCAAAAAACGAAUAUUGACUAUGAUGGUUAUGUUGCAUUAUGGUGUGUGUAGGUACGCGCAUUAUGUUGCCUAAUGGACAUAAAAAUGAUAAGCUGUAUAAAAUGCCCUCUUCCGUUUCCUGUGAUUCGCAACCAUGUUAGCUGUUGUGAGGACAGAGUCUCCCCUUUGCAACCAGG